AUAAAAUUGUUUAGCGUUCCCCUGUAGCUCAAUGGUAGAGCAGGUCCCUGUGGAACAUUAACGCAGCUUUCCGAAGUAAUUCGGAUUGAAAAAUCGGGCUAAUUCGGGGAAGUCCUGAACUAAGUUGAAGGAUAAUCCCGAGCUAAAUUCCCGCCAUGGCGGGAUAAAUGUGUAGAGACUAUAUACCCGAUCCCCUCUUUUUCGAAAAAAGAGGGGGAUGAGAUAGUCCAAACCUUUUGGUAACAGAAGG
rnacentral:ncRNA from 1 species